AAAAGGUCUCAUUGUUAGGUAGCCCAAGAGAAAGUCGUGUGUGUGCAUAGUGUCCUAAACUAGAAAGUACAUAAAAAAUUACAAUUUGUCUUGAAUCUUGAAUGCUCCAUCCAUGUUCGGGUUGAAUGAUUGUCCAAGGCCUUUUCGAAAGGGUCCUAAUGAGUCUCUAAGUUCAUUAUCCAAUGUCCAUUACAUGCUAAGGGAUUUAUCUUAUUUUUUUACUUUUU
rnacentral:lncRNA from 1 species